rnacentral:ncRNA from 1 species
GCAGAGUAGAUCUGUGUGCGUUAAGUGCCAGCUGGACAGGGAGUUGCCGGCAGGACGAAGAAGCCGCCUGGUUUCGCGGUACACGGAUCGCAUCCCGCUGC